rnacentral:rRNA from 1 species
AUUGAACGCUGGCGGCAGGCCUAACACAUGCAAGUCGAACGAGUGGCGGACGGGUGAGUAAUGCUUGGGAAUCUAGCUUAUGGAGGGGGAUAACUACGGGAAACUGUCGCUAAUACCGCGUACCAUAGGAUGAGCCCAAGUGGGAUUAGGUAGUUGGUGAGGUAAAGGCUCACCAAGCAGACGAUCUCUAGCUGGUCUGAGAGGUUGACCAGCCACACUGGGACUGAGACACGGCCCAGACUCCUACGGUAGGCAGCAGUGUGGAAUAUUGCGCCAUUGGGGCAACCUGACGCAGCCAUGCCGCGUGAAUGAAGAAGGCCUUCGGGUUGUAAAGUUCUUUCGGUCGGUAGGCGUUACCGACAGAAGAAGCACCGGCUAACUCCGUGCCAGCAGCCGCGGUAAUUC